AGAGUUUGAUCCUGGCUCAGGACGAACGCUGGCGGCGUGCCUAACACAUGCAAGUCGAACGGGGAUAGAGCGCAGGCUUGCCUAUGCUCUUUCCUAGUGGCGGACGGGUGAGUAACACGUGAGCAACCUGCCCGACAACCCGGGAUAACAGCGGGAAACCGUUGCUAAUACCGGAUACACCAGUAUUAACGCAUGUUAUAACUGGGAAAGGGUUUACCGAUGUCGGAUGGGCUCGCGACCCAUUAGCUUGUUGGUGGGGUAAUGGCCUACCAAGGCUGCGAUGGGUAGCUGGUCUGAGAGGACGAUCAGCCACACUGGAACUGAGACACGGUCCAGACUCCUACGGGAGGCAGCAGUGGGGAAUAUUGCACAAUGGGCGAAAGCCUGAUGCAGCGACGCCGCGUGGAGGAUGAAGGCCUUCGGGUCGUAAACUCCUGUCUGGGGGGAUGAAUUUUUGACAGUACCCCCGGAGGAAGCCCCGGCUAACUACGUGCCAGCAGCCGCGGUAAUACGUAGGGGGCAAGCGUUGUCCGGAAUUACUGGGCGUAAAGCGCGCGUAGGUGGCUUGUUAAGUCAGGUGUCAAAAUGCGGAGCUCAACUCCGCAGCGCACUUGAAACUGGCAGGCUUGAGUGCAGGAGAGGAAAGUGGAAUUCCUAGUGUAGCGGUGAAAUGCGUAGAUAUUAGGAGGAACACCAGUGGCGAAGGCGACUUUCUGGACUGCAACUGACACUGAGGCGCGAAAGCUAGGGGAGCAAACAAGAUUAGAUACCCUGGUAGUCCUAGCCGUAAACGAUCCCAAGAGGUGUUGGGGGGGACCAAUCCUCCCAGUCCCGCAAGUAAACGCAUUAAGUACCCCGCCUGGGGACUACGGCCGCAAGGCUGAAACUCAAAGGAAUUGACGGGGGCCCGCACAAGCGGUGGAGCAUGUGGUUUAAUUCGACGCAACGCGAAGAACCUUACCAGGGUUUGACAUCCCCUGACAGCGUAUGAAAGUGCGCAUUCUGUUUUCGGAUAGACAGGGAGACAGGUGGUGCAUGGUUGUCGUCAGCUCGUGUCGUGAGAUGUUGGGUUAAGUCCCGCAACGAGCGCAACCCCUACGUUUAGUUGCUAACGGGUAGAGCCGAGCACUCUAGACGAACUGCCGUUGACAAAACGGAGGAAGGUGGGGAUGACGUCAAAUCAUCAUGCCCCUUAUGUCCUGGGCUACACACGUGCUACAAUGGCCGGUACAAAGGGAAGCGAAGUCGCGAGGCAGAGCGAAUCCGACAAAAGCCGGUCUCAGUUCGGAUUGCAGGCUGCAAUUCGCCUGCAUGAAGCAGGAAUCGCUAGUAAUCGCAGGUCAGCAUACUGCGGUGAAUACGUUCCCGGGCCUUGUACACACGGCCCGUCA
rnacentral:rRNA from 1 species